rfam:Cavia porcellus supercont2_1 genomic scaffold, whole genome shotgun sequence.
GGGGAUUUAGCUCAGUGGCAUAUGCGCCUGCCUUGCAAGCAGGCAGUUGUGAGUUCAAUCCCUA